rnacentral:rRNA from 1 species
UACGUAGGGUGCAAGCGUUGUCCGGAAUUAUUGGGCGUAAAGAGCUCGUAGGCGGUUUGUUGCGUCGGCUGUGAAAUCCCGAGGCUCAACCUCGGGUCUGCAGUCGAUACGAGCAAACUAGAGUGUUGCAGGGGAGACUGGAAUUUCUGGUGUAGCGGUGAAAUGCGCAGAUAUCAGGAGGAACACCGGUGGCGAAGGCGGGUCUCUGGGCAACAACUGACGCUGAGGAGCGAAAGCGUGGGGAGCGAACAGG